UACAGAGGGUGCGAGCGUUACUCGGAAUUACUGGGCGUAAAGCGCGCGUAGGCGGCUUUGCAAGUCGGGUGUGAAAUCCCCAGGCUUAACCUGGGAACUGCAUUCGAGACUGCAUUGCUAGAGUAUGGGAGAGGGAAGUGGAAUUUCCGGUGUAGCGGUGAAAUGCGUAGAUAUCGGAAGGAACAUCAGUGGCGAAAGCGACUUCCUGGACCAAUACUGACGCUCAUGUGCGAAAGCGUGGGGAGCAAACGGG
rnacentral:rRNA from 1 species